UCAACUUCUUACAGGUUGCCGAAGUGGGCUCUUUUUUUUAACCUUUUAAUAUAAUGAUAGGGUGAAUGGUGUAUGCAUGAGUUUGUUUACUUGAUUUACAAGGUUAAUCUUUUAUUCAAAUAUUUGUUACUUUUGAAUUUGCUCUUAGGUUGUACGUGGACACUAUAAAGGUCAGCAAAUUGGCAAAGUAGUCCAGGUUUACAGGAAGAAAUAUGUUAUCUACAUUGAACGGGUGCAGCGGGAAAAGGCUAAUGGCACAACUGUCCACGUAGGCAUUCACCCCAGCAAGGUGGUUAUCACUAGGCUAAAACUGGACAAAGACCGCAAAAAGAUCCUCGAACGGAAAGCCAAAUCUCGCCAAGUAGGAAAGGAAAAGGGCAAAUACAAGGAAGAAACCAUUGAGAAGAUGCAGGAAUAAAGUAAUCUUAUAUACAAGCUUUGAUUAAAACUUGAAAC
rnacentral:lncRNA from 1 species